GUCAUAGCUCAGUUGGUUAGAGUGUGGUGCUGAUAGUGCCAGGAUUGCAGGUUUGAACCCCGUAAGGGACA